CCCACUGCUCACCACUGGGAGGUGGAAGUCAGCCCGGUGGCGGUUUUUUUCCCCCUCCUUCCUUUGCCGGCUGGCUGCUCCCUACCACCUCUCUCCUGCUGGCCAAAGGUUCUGAAACUCUCACAACGGGUGCCCAACUCAAAGAAAACUCACUCACCCUAAAGAUAUUCCUGCUAACCUCACAAUUCCUGGGUUCCCUCUCAUCUAGCCAGAACAAACUGCCUUGUGUCUUCUCCCCACCCACAUCUACCUUCAUGGCAAACAAGCCAACAAAACACACAAGCCCCC
rnacentral:lncRNA from 1 species